rnacentral:lncRNA from 1 species
GUGAACCCAGCCUCUCCUAAUUGCAGACACUACCAGAACCACGGACAGGAUGUGCAUCGUCCCUCAAGACUCAAAUUAAGGCCACAUGAUAACGCCAAGAGACAGCGGUUCACGGAAUCCGUAAAACUCCAGUUUCUUUGGAAAGCUAAGUUGCCUGUAAGCCAAAAUGCAUAUUUUGUAAAUUGAUUCAUUUACAUUUGAAAAGACCAAACCUUAAUUCUCGAAAAAGCUGAGUGGAAGGACAGAGAGACUGAAGGGAACACACGCACGUCGCGCGUGCACGCACACACACACACACACACACACACACACACACACACACACACACCCGGAGCAAUGUAAGCAUCCUCUCCCGUC